AUACAGAGGGUGCAAGCGUUAAUCGGAUUUACUGGGCGUAAAGCGCGCGUAGGUGGCUAAUUAAGUCAAAUGUGAAAUCCCCGAGCUUAACUUGGGAAUUGCAUUCGAUACUGGUUAGCUAGAGUAUGGGAGAGGAUGGUAGAAUUCCAGGUGUAGCGGUGAAAUGCGUAGAGAUCUGGAGGAAUACCGAUGGCGAAGGCAGCCAUCUGGCCUAAUCCUGACACUGAGGUGCGAAAGCAUGGGGAGCAAACAGGAUUAGAUACCCUGGUAGUCCAUGCCGUAAACGAUGUCUACUAGCCGUUGGGGCCCUUGAGGCUUUAGUGGCGCAGCUAACGCGAUAAGUAGACCGCCUGGGGAGUACGGUCGCAAGACUGAAACUCAAAGGAAUUGACGGGG
rnacentral:rRNA from 1 species